AUUUAAUUGCGAUCGGACUGUCCAGAUUAAAUCGCGAUGGAUGGCUCAGAUUAAAAGCGAAAGGUUAUAAAUAAUCACAUCCACACCCAAACCCAAACCCUAGCCGCCAGAGCCCUCGCCGGAGAAGACUGCCCAGCCACCGGGGGAACCGACCGCCGCCACCCGUCGUCACACCGGAGCACUUUCUGGCCGCUAAAUGAGGUAAAAAUUUUCUCCUUGGCUUAGAUUUCGAUUCUAAACCCAC
rnacentral:lncRNA from 1 species